AUGUGCAAAGGGAAAGGCCUAAGCAUACCAUUUCUGUGUUUUCCCUCUGAUUUCGCUGUUGUGUGUGUUUCUUUGUGGGGUAAUAUAUCUGAGGGUUUUGUUUCCAGGGUUCUAGCUCAUUUCAGUAACAUACUGCUAGUGCUGGACGAGAUGCCAAACUUCCCUGAGGAGCUCCAAGGGGCAAAGAAAGGGAUUCUGUAUCUCACACAGUACAAAAUGAUAUUCCAGCACAAGGACAAGGGCUCCACGACCAUCCGCUUUCCACUUCAGCUCCUGGGGGACUGUAUGAUAGGGGAGGAGCUGAGCUCCAGACAGCAAUAUAUCAAAGGGACUAUUACUUCCAGUCAAGGUGUUCUCACCUUCAAAUUCAUCUUCCUGUAUGAAGCCACUGAUUGCCUGAAUAUGAUCAAAACCCUGUCUUCAGCAGAUCCCAUCCCACAUGUGAAACAGCCAGGAAGAGAGACAACUGUGGAACCAACAAGCCAUAUGCCAAGCAUCUGCACUCACUCACUGUGCUCAGGGAUACUGAUUCAACCCAGUGCCUGA
ensembl:lncRNA